AGCAGCCGCGGUAAUUCCAGCUCCAAUAGCGUAUAUUAAAGUUGUUGCAGUUAAAAAGCUCGUAGUUGAAUUUCGGGAUCAAUUUAUCGGUCGUGCCUACGGUAUGAACUGGUACAAUUGGUUUCUCCCUUCUGAUGAAGCACGAUGUCAUUAACUUGGUGUCGUGGGGAAUCAGGACUGUUACUUUGAAAAAAUUAGAGUGUUUAAAGCAGGCCU
rnacentral:rRNA from 1 species